GUUAUUUUGGCAGAUUAGUGCAAUAGAUUUAGAAUCUUUCUAUGUAGUUUAUACUAUAGAUAAUA
rnacentral:tRNA from 1 species